rnacentral:rRNA from 1 species
UACGGAGGGUGCAAGCGUUAUCCGGAUUCACUGGGUUUAAAGGGUGCGUAGGUGGGCAGGCAAGUCAGUGGUGAAAUCUCCAAGCUUAACUUGGAAACUGCCGUUGAUACUAUCUGUCUUGAAUACCGUGGAGGUGAGCGGAAUAUGUCAUGUAGCGGUGAAAUGCUUAGAUAUGACAUAGAACACCAAUUGCGAAGGCAGCUCGCUACACGAAUAUUGACUCUGAGGCACGAAAGCGUGGGGAUCAAACAGG